GCCUCCCGAAUUGUGGUCUAGGAAGGCGCCAUCGGCCGCGCGCGUCGCCGAAAUCCCUUGGAAGAGGGUAUCGGAGAAGGUGAGAAUCCUGUGCCGUGGCGCGUCGCGGCCUCACGAUGCGUCCUUGUCGAGUCGGGUUGCUUGGGAUUGCAGCUUGAAGUGGGUGGUAAAUUCCAUCUAAAGCUAAAUAGUGGCGAGAGACCGAUAGCGAACAAGUACCGUGAGGGAAAGAUGCAAAGAACUUUGAAAAGAGAGUCAAAGAGUGCUUGAAAUUGGCAGGAGGAAACCCGGUUGCGCCCGGCGUCGGCGCGUCGACUCAGCCGUGUGCGCGCGCUUGUCCUGUGCGGACCGCAAGGCCGCUUUGGGUUGGUUCGUGUGCGGUGCAUUUGGACGCGCCGGGUCAGCUUUCGCUGCGUGUUGCGUGAGAUGCCGUUGGGUGAGGCCUUGUGCGAUCCCAUUGGGAGCGUCGCGGCCGCGGCGGCUAUUAAGCUGACGGAACGGGCGCCACCGACCCGUCUAGAAACACGGACCAAGGAGUCUGACACGUGUGCGAGUACCCGGGUGUGGAAUGCCCGCGUGCGGAAUGAAAGUGAAGGGCAUGCCCUGCCAACCGACCUUGAGCUGCUGCGAAGGGUUUGAGUGGAGCACGUGUGUCGGGACCCGAAAGAUGGUGAACUAUGCCUGAGGAGGGUGAAGCCAGAGGAAACUCUGGUGGAGGCUCGUAGCGAUACUGACGUGCAAAUCGUUCGUCGAACUUGGGUAUAGGGGCGAAAGACUAAUCGAACCAUCUAGUAGCUGGUUCCCUCCGAAGUUUCCCUCAGGAUAGCUUGAGCGCAGACAGUACGGUUUUGU
rnacentral:rRNA from 1 species